rnacentral:sRNA from 2 species
AUUAGAUAUAAGCCGAAUUUCAAUUGAAAACGGGGGAACCAUAAGAAGUGAACGGUGCUUGAAGACGUAAGUUUGAGCGCCGAUCUUCAGGGGUGAAUUUCGUUCCGGGAACGAAUAGGGCAGCCUGCAGCCGCCCGAAUCCGUCAGCUAACCUCGUAGGCUUCAGAACACUGCAGGA